UACGAAGGGGGCUAGCGUUGUUCGGAAUUACUGGGCGUAAAGCGUGCGCAGGCGGCUUCUCAAGUCAGGGGUGAAAGCCCAGAGCUCAACUCUGGAAUUGCCUUUGAGACUGAGUGGCUUGAGUACGAGAGAGGUGAGUGGAAUUCCCAGUGUAGAGGUGAAAUUCGUAGAUAUUGGGAAGAACACCAGUGGCGAAGGCGGGUCUCUGGACAGUUCCUGACACUGAGGCACGAAGGCCAGGGGAGCAAACGGG
rnacentral:rRNA from 1 species